CCUACGGGAGGCAGCAGUGAGGAAUAUUGGUCAAUGGACGCAAGUCUGAACCAGCCAUGCCGCGUGCAGGAAGACGGCCCUAUGAGUUGUAAACUGCUUUUGUACGAGGGUAAACGCAGAUACGCGUAUCUGUCUGAAAGUAUCGUACGAAUAAGGAUCGGCUAACUCCGUGCCAGCAGCCGCGGCAAUACGGAGGAUUCAAGCGUUAUCCGGAUUUAUUGGGUUUAAAGGGAGCGUAGGCGGUCGGAUAAGUUAGAGGUGAAAGCCCGAGGCUCAACUUCGGAAUUGCAUCUGAUACUGGUCGGCUAGAGAGUAGUUGAGGUAGGCGGAAUGUAUGGUGUAGCGGUGAAAUGCUUAGAGAUCAUACAGAACACCGAUUGCGAAGGCAGCUUACCAAGCUACUUCUGACGUUGAGGCACGAAAGCGUGGGGAGCAAACAGGAUUAGAUACCCUUGUAGUC
rnacentral:rRNA from 1 species